rnacentral:rRNA from 1 species
GAUGAACGCUGGCGGCGUGCCUAAUACAUGCAAGUCGAGCGAACAGACGAGGAGCUUGCUCCUCUGACGUUAGCGGCGGACGGGUGAGUAACACGUGGAUAACCUACCUAUAAGACUGGGAUAACUUCGGGAAACCGGAGCUAAUACCGGAUAAUAUAUUGAACCGCAUGGUUCAAUAGUGAAAGACGGUUUUGCUGUCACUUAUAGAUGGAUCCGCGCCGCAUUAGCUAGUUGGUAAGGUAACGGCUUACCAAGGCAACGAUGCGUAGCCGACCUGAGAGGGUGGUCGGCCACACUGGAACUGAGACACGGUCCAGACUCCUACGGGAGGCCGCCGUAGGGAAUCUUUCGCAAUGGGCGGAAGCUUGGCGGAGCAACGCCGCGUGGGUGAUGAAGGUCUUCGGGUCGUAAAACUCUUUUAUUAGGGAAGAACAAAUGUGUAAGUAACUAUGCACGUCUUGACGGUACCUAAUCAGAAAGCCACGGCUAACUACGUG